UGUGAAACUCCUCCCCCAUCAUACUGAGAAAUGGUAUCAAACAUGUUGAGCUCCCUGGUCAGCUUGGAAGUCUGAGGACUCGGGUAUCUUACUUCCUUUGGCAGUGAAGCUAGUGAGAAUUCAAGGUGUGAACUGCCUGAGUCUUCAUGGUCCUCGGGGAUGAUGAGCCCAUGUGAGUCCAGGGUGGUCUGAUUGAAAUUAAAAUAUACCCAGACUCAGUCAUGACAGCCCACCAGUUUACGGAACCCUUGAUCCACAAAGGAUAGUACAUCACGAUCAUACCCUAUAACACUUGUGCCUCUUGCAAAAUGGCUACAAAGAUCAUCUGGAUACUUUGAAACACUGCAAAUGGAAAGUGUGAGUGUGGUCUGGAGUGGUCAUGUGGGGACCUAGAAUGAUGUGACAAAGGAAGUUUUCAUAUCUUGAAAAGCAUGUGUUCCGGAGAGAACAGACAAACAUAAUGGUAUCCUCUCCAGACCCUUGACCUGAAACUCAGAAUACUUGGGGCUGAGAAGGUACUGACACUGGUGCCAGGGGAGGGAGCAAGGCUUUG
rnacentral:lncRNA from 1 species